CUCUGGUGGUAGGUCCUGCUGCUCUGGACCCUGUGCAUUGACAUCCAUCCCCUCGCCAUCCUCUGUCACCCUUGAUGUAUCAGAUUCCAGUUGCCUCUUCACCUCAUCUUCUGAGUUGAACAAUUGCCUGCAGAAAACUGAUACGUAUAAAGAGAGGUAAAACACCUUAGAUCUUGUGUAACCAAGUUGGUUCCCCC